UGGGGAAUUUUGGACAAUGGGGGAAACCCUGAUCCAGCCAUCCCGCGUGUGCGAUGAAGGCCUUCGGGUUGAAAAGCACUUUUGGCAGGAAAGAAACGUCAUGGGUUAAUACCCCGUGAAACUGACGGUACCUGCAGAAUAAGCACCGGCUAACUACGUGCCAGCAGCCGCGGUAAUACGUAGGGUGCAAGCGUUAAUCGGAAUUACUGGGCGUAAAGCGUGCGCAGGCGGUUCGGAAAGAAAGAUGUGAAAUCCCAGAGCUCAACUUUGGAACUGCAUUUUUAACUACCGGGCUAGAGUGUGUCAGAGGGAGGUGGAAUUCCGCGUGUAGCAGUGAAAUGCGUAGAUAUGCGGAGGAACACCGAUGGCGAAGGCAGCCUCCUGGGAUAACACUGACGCUCAUGCACGAAAGCGUGGGGAGCAAACAGG
rnacentral:rRNA from 1 species